GCCUUGAGUUGCAACACUUGUACUAAUGAAGCUGACGAACCUAAAUGUGCAGCAACAGCCUGCGCUGCAGCUGACACACGAUGUCAGAGCACUUAUACCCUCACUGCCCCAGAUGUUCCAGUAUCAAAGGCAUGUGCUGAGGAUUGCACACCAUCCGCUACUGUGAAGUGCUGUGGUACAUCUCAGUGUAACGUGGACCUCUUGAAAUGCUACACCUGCACUGACUUGACAGAUGAAUCUAAUUGUAAAGAUAUAACAGUCUGUGGGUACGGUGACAAGUUCUGUAAAACCACUUACAAACUAACUGGAACUGGU